AUUGAACGCUUGCGGCAGGCCUAACACAUGCAAGUCGAACGAGUGGCGGACGGGUGAGUAAUGUCUGUGCAACUUCAUGAUGGAGGGGGAUAACUACUGUAAACGGUAGCUACUACCGCCUACCAUCGGAUGUGCCCAUAUGGGAUUAGCUAGGAGGUGGGGUAACGGCUCACCUAGGCGACGAUCCCUAGCUGGUCUGAGAGGAUGACCAGGCACACUGGAACUGAGACACGGUCCAGACUCCUACGGGAGGCAGCAGUGGGGAAUAUUGGACAAUGGGCGAAAGCCUGAUGCAGCCAUGCCGCGUGUAUGAAGAAGGACUUCGGGUUGUAAAGUACUUUAAGCGAGGAGGCGUUACUAGCAGAAGAAGCACCGGCUAACUCCGUGCCAGCAGCCGCGGUAAUAC
rnacentral:rRNA from 1 species